rnacentral:rRNA from 1 species
CACGUAGGGCGCAAGCGUUGUCCGGAAUUAUUGGGCGUAAAGAGCUCGUAGGCGGUCUGUUGCGUCCGCUGUGAAAACCCGGGGCUUAACCCUGGGCUGGCAGUGGAUACGGACAGACUAGAGGUAGGUAGGGGAGAAUGGAAUUCCCGGUGUAGCAGUGAAAUGCGCAGAUAUCGGGAGGAACACCGUUGGCGAAGGCGGGUCUCUGGACAGUUCCUGACACUGAGACACGAAGGCCAGGGGAGCAAACGGG